UACGGAGGGUGCAAGCGUUAUCCGGAUUCACUGGGUUUAAAGGGUGCGUAGGUGGGCUGGUAAGUCAGUGGUGAAAUCUCCAGGCUUAACUUGGAAACUGCCAUUGAUACUAUCAGUCUUGAAUACCGUGGAGGUCAGCUGAAUAUGUCAUGUAGCGGUGAAAUGCUUAGAUAUGACAUAGAACACCAAUUGCGAAGGCAGCUGGCUACACGAAUAUUGACACUGAUGCACGAAAGCGUGGGGAUCAAACAGG
rnacentral:rRNA from 1 species